UUUAUGUGUUUGAUGCAACAACGGUCAGUUCUUUAAAUGUGAAUUUUCUGCAUGUACUUUCAUCCUGCCUAUUCAUGUAUUUGUCAGUUUUGUGCCAAACAAUAAAUUUGUCAACAUCUAUGAUACUAAUGCUUUUAAUUUCCAUAAUGAUAAAGGAUGUAAUCAGAUUUAUUGUGAAAUUGUUUGUAGCUUAUAAAUACUGUUCAUCAUUAAAAGAUCUGUCAUAUUUUUUUUAAUGACUUGGGUCUAGAAUUCAGCCUUGUUAAACAAAAUUCGGUGACUUUGAACAACAUUGCUGAGAAAUGAACUUUCAUAUGCCACAAAUAAACAAAAGAAAAAUCUUAUUUGAAGUCAUUUCCUGUAAAUUAUCUAUUCUUGAAAGAUAGUAAUAAUACCCUCUAUUACAAUUUACUCUUCAUUACUAAAUUUUUGUGGUCAAUCCACUUUUUCAGAGGUACAAGGCUGCUGGACAGGAUACUAUUGUAUUAGAAUUAAGCAUUUUCUUUGGUGGUGUGUAGGAUAUUAUAGUAACUGGUGGGGCUAAUACAAGUCUUGUACUCUUUGAUCGGCCAUUAGGAGAGAUUUUAUCUACACUUAAUGGUCAUUCAAAGAAGGUUACAAAUGUUAAAUUUGUGGAUGAGGGUGACUUGGUUGUUACUGGUUCAGCUGAUAAGGUAUAUGUGGGCUGGUAUGUUUUGCGAGUAUUGCGUUAAGUUUUAUCAAGUUUGUUGUUUAAGAUGUUCAUUAUAAUAUGCUAAGCAUUUAGUGAUUAAAAAAUAUACUAAUGUUGAUAUUAUUGCUGCAGAAUGACAUGCACAAUAAUCCUACAUUCAGGAUAAAAAUUGGUGGUUAUUUUAUAGGUGCAAGCUUGGAUUUGAGGAACAUAUAUCUCCAUGGUAACAAAUUGAAACUCAACCGGUACCUUGUACAGUGGUGAACACUAGCAUUGUAGAUUUUGACUUUACUAUCAUUCUAUUUGGAUUGUUUUUUUUUCAUAAAAGAAUUUUUUCCAAGUUUUUAGUUGUAAUAACUUUCACAUAUAGUUCUAAUUUUGAUACUCAAAUAGAAUGCCUGAA